rnacentral:rRNA from 1 species
GAUGAACGCUGGCGGCGUGCCUAAUACAUGCAAGUCGAGCGAACAGACGAGGAGCUUGCUCCUUCGACGUUAGCGGCGGACGGGUGAGUAACACGUAGGUAACCUACCUAUAAGACUGGGAUAACUUCGGGAAACCGGAGCUAAUACCGGAUAAUAUUUCGAACCGCAUGGUUCGAUAGUGAAAGAUGGCUUUGCUAUCACUUAUAGAUGGACCUGCGCCGUAUUAGCUAGUUGGUAAGGUAACGGCUUACCAAGGCAACGAUACGUGGCCGACCUGAGAGGGUGAUCGGCCACACUGGAACUGAGACACGGUCCAGACCCCUACGGGAGGCAGCAGUAGGGAAUCUUCCGCAAUGGGCGAAAGCCUGACGGAGCAACGCCGCGUGAGUGAUGAAGGUCUUCGGAUCGUAAAACUCUGUUAUUAGGGAAGAACAAACGUGUAAGUAACUGUGCACGUCUUGACGGUACCUAAUCAGAAAGCCACGGCUAACUACGUG